rnacentral:tRNA from 1 species
UCUAUAAUAGCAUAAUAAAUGCAGUUAACUGUUAAUUAAAAGAUGCAAAUAGCUUAUAGAG